rnacentral:rRNA from 1 species
AUGCAAAGAAUCAUUCCUGUAUCUGAACGAUACGCACUGCCAUAUAAGCUGCAAAUAGAAACACUCAUAGAUUAUAACUGUGCAUAUAAUCUAACAGAUAUGCAGUCACCAAGACACUCACAGAAAUAUCUAUCUACGCAUUAUUUCAGUGAUCAUGCUGGAGUGGAACUGCUGUUGGCAUCUUUUAGCUUCUUUACACACUUUCUGAUGCAAAUGUGUGCUGUUAGUUUUAUCUGCAUACUUUGUAUUUCUAAACUAGUGAUGGUCAAUGGUGAAAAUAAUUUACGAGUCUUAAAGAGUAUUGCAGGUCAACAACAUGCAAGUUUCUUUCAGUUGGCACCACAUGGACUUUAUGUUUAA